ACGGAUAUCUCGGCUCAUGCAUCGAUGAAGAACGUAGCAAAAUGCGAUACUUGGUGUGAAUUGCAGAAUCCCGUGAACCAUCGAGUUUUUGAACGCAAGUUGCGCCCGAAGCCUUUUGGUUGAGGGCACGUCUGCCUGGGCGUCACAUAUGGCGUUGCCUCCCAU
rnacentral:rRNA from 1 species